ensembl:lncRNA
UGCUUGCAUAGAAGCCUUAGGGCUCCUGUUACCUUGGAGCAUUGUAUUAUCAAUUACCCUAAUUAGAGUUCUGAACCUGCCUGGCACCAUGUAUUUUUCACUCAUUUUUAACUUUUUCUUGCCAGGCUCCACAGCCUACACUCAGAACCUUUCCUUCAAAGCAAAGCAAAAAAAGAAAGAAAGAAAAAGCAAGCAAGGUGAAUGCCAGUUUGAUUGGUGGCAGGCUGCAGACUCUGAAGGCUGUUCUCCAUCAGAGCCUGCACAGCGAGGACCUGUGUUUGCAUGGGAAGCACGAAGCACAAAGGAGGUGCUCAGGCCUCACCUCGCACAUUUAAUCACUCCUGUGAAUGGGUGUCAUUGAGGUCCUGGCAGCCCAGUCCCAGCAUGCUGCAUCCCCCCGAGGUACCAUUGCCGUGUGAGCUGCAAGCGGCACAGAGAGGCAGGUGGAUGGUGCUGAAGCCAGUGAAAAGCUCACAGAAACAGCAGCCUCUCCUGGGAAGAUACCUCCUCAUGGACGAGUGAUAAGCCUUUCCCCCAGAGUGCAGGAGCUAGGCUGCAGAGAACAAGGCACAGCACGCUCUCCUGGCUGCUCCAGCUUGUGGCAGCCCUCACUGAACCCACUGCGAUGGGAAUCGUUGUACAAGGUGCCCAUCCCUCACUUCAAGCCUGCGUUCCUCCUCCCCACCACUCCCGGCUUCCAUCAGCAUCCUACAGUGCUGUCCUUCCCUUUUGGCCUACUGGCAAGGAACAAGGAAGAAGGAACAAGUCCAUCCUGGCAUAUAACCACCGUGCAGAGCAGCUGCCAUCCCCAGCCCCAGCACCCUGCAGACAGACCUUCCUUGGAGCCGUGCAUGGUGUGUAUUUGGUUGCGGAGUUCCUCCUAGAAAUGCAUCGGUUUGGAGAUUCCUACAGCCACGUGGGACCUGAUUGGAUAAUGAAAAUCUCAUCUGCAGGAAUAAGGCAGAGAGACAGAGAUGAAACUGGAUUUGAAGAUGGUGUUUGGGCCAGUUCAAGAUUGCCACGACCUUCACCUUUUGCUUCUAAGAACAGAGACACUGGGAACCUGCAGGACCAGCAAGUCAGGAUAUUUAAGUUAUAAUCACCUUUGUUUUCUCGUUCAUGUGACAAAGGUUGUCUAACAACCCUGGCAUGAUAAGGGUAGGGAAGCAGAGCACUCUGGGCAGUGCAGCAGCACCAGGCAAUGUGAGAGAUGGAGGCACAGCUCCUGCACUUUGGGGGCUGGGAAGC